rnacentral:rRNA from 1 species
CCCCUAGAUGUCCUGGGCCGCACGCGCAAUACAAUGUAAAGUUCAGAAAGCAUAUCCUGUUCCGGAAGGCAAUGGGUAAUCUUUUCAAUAUUUUACGUGUUAGGGAUCGAUCUUUGCAAUUAUAGAUCUUGAACGAGGAAUACCUAGUAAGUGCAGCUCAUCAGGCUGUACUGAUUACGCCCCUGCCCUUUGUACACACCGCCCGUCGCUCCUACCGAUUUCGAGUGGUCCGGUGAAUCUUUUGGAAUUAGAGUGCAAACUCAAACUAAGAUCGAUAAACCUUAUCACUUAGAGGAAGGAGAAGUCGUAACA